rnacentral:lncRNA from 1 species
GUGGGGGAGUGCCAUCCCGAAGUCAUCGGGCUUCUUCCUAUGUCUUAGUAUUUAUCCGUUCACAUGUAGCAUAUUGUAUGUUGCUAUGCAUUAUAGGAUGACAAUACAUGCAUUCCUAAUCCUUAUAUGAUGUUUAUGAUCAAUAUAGUAUUAUGAUAUGGAUAUAUGAUGUGAUGGACAUAAGGAUUAUGAGGUGACAUUGGUAAACCUAUGAUGCUAAAUGAAAGAAGAACCUAGUGUUGUGUUUAAAGACAUAGUUUACAAGUGGCAUUGAACUCAUUGUGCUAAAAACACAUAUGACUUGAACUAGUAAUGGAUUGGUUGUUGUACUAGAAACUCUAGUAACAUUGAUCAAGUUGCAUAUUGGGAUAUUGCAUUAUAGGGUACUAGUUGGCAAUUGUUACAUGUCAUGGCAUGCUAGUGAGAGUGUAGUGUUACUUGAUUAAUACUUGUACCUAGUAUGCAUGAGAUUGGGACUUAGUGUGGUGAAACCCUAUAAGGGCAUGAUUAAUGUGGGUUAAACUUGUUGAGUGCAUUAAUCGAUUAAGUUGCAUAUUGUAUUUAUUGCACUUAGGUGCUAGAUGAUUAUGGUCAUUGCUCAUAUUUGCAUGCUAGUAGCUAUACAUCUUGAUGAUUGUUCCAUGAUCUAGUAUGCAUGAUGAUUACAUGAUGAAAACCCUACAAUGAGAACCUAGACCCUAUAUGUGAGAUGAUUAAUGCUUAUAUUGCUAAAGAACUAGUAUGAUGUAACUAGUGUUGAAAUGAGUCUAAAUGACGAGUGGCAUCUAGUUUAGAAAACUAUGAUGAGUGGCAUGUGAUUGUUGAUAACCUUGACAUGAGAACCUUAGUGUAGUUGAAACACUAUGAGAUUGGGUACAAGAACACCUUGAUUCCAUGAUGAGAUUACCCUUAGAGGGUAGGUUGCUGUUGCUCGUGAGAUGAUCACGCUUACAUUGCCUGUCUGCGCUUGGUGGGGUCGCUCCCCCCAGGUUGUGCGCUCCGGAGUUUGGUCACUAGAGAGGCAGCCGUGCUCGCUGCUCGGAUAGCCGCUUGUUAUCCGCAGGCGUACUCGGGGAUAGUCCAGCUCGACAUCCCUAGGAGAUUGAUAUGUGAGCCUUGCUUGUGAACCACGAGUUCACCUUGAGAUUGGGUUACCUAUUGAGCCAUACCCAUUAUUGUUGUUCAUGAUAGCUUGCUUCCAUAGUUGUUGUUGUUGUUGUUCAUAGUAGCUUACUAGUGUUCAUAGUAGCUUACUUAUUGCUCAUGCCUUCAUGAUAUACUAUUCCUUCACCUAUGAGAUUUGAGUACCUAUUGAGUCAUACUCAUUAUUGUUGUUCAUGAUAGCUUGUUUCCAUAGUUGUUGUUGUUGUUCACCUUUGAGAUAUGAGUCGAGUAGACCAGAAUGAGGUAGCUUUUCACCUACUAGAUUUGAGAUCUUAGGCAAAGUAGCCUAGCGGAUUGGGUAAUAACAUGAAUAGCAUAAGAGUAUUGCAUUCAUACCAUGAUUAGACAUAGUGCAUUGCAUAACUAUGUUAUAGUUGUAUUCAUUUCACUGUUGAGGCAUAUUAGCAUGAUAGUAGAUUGUUGCUAGAUGAUGUUCCAUGCAUACUUUGCAUUUGAUGGCAUAGUAGAUAUAGUAGUAGUAUUUCCAUAUAUCUUUCUAUCUAUCUAUCUGUGCCAGCUUGGACCUAGUGGGAAGAUCGGCGGAGUCGGCGGCCGAACCCACUGGGAACUAUAUUUAUAUAGUUCUCACCCCGUGUGGUUUUGGGGUACAGGUACACAUGAGAGCGGAUCGACAGAGGAUCGCAGUUU